CUUUGGUAAAAAAAAAAGAAUAACUGGAGAAGCUGUGCGGAAUGGGAAGGUAGGGUGCUGUGUGAUGUGUUCAUAGUGUGCUCGGCUGACCAGAGGGAGGGGAUGGAAAGAGUGGAGCGAUCAGGCCAGGAGCAAACAAACUUUCUGCGGGAGGCUCCGCGGAUGCACCGGGGCCGACGGAGGAGCCCAAGCGUUUAAAUGGCUGAGAUACACGGAGGAGCAUUGAAGUUGUUGAGUUGGAGGAGUUGCGAGGUGGAGUAUUGCAGAACCAUGGCAGCCUGAGGUCUUUUGUCGGUAGCCACGGACCUGAUGACCGGAGUUGGAGAAGUGACAGGCACGUCAGGAUAAUCCAUAACAGGCCGGAGAUCGGAGCUGAGUGAAAAAGUGGUGAUGGAUGAGGCGAGGAAACGGAGGAGGCAGUUCAGUCAGCUGCUAACGUUAGCUACACGCGGAUUGGAGGGCGGCUAGCUAACAGCUAGCUGAAGAAGCAGCAGUCAGACUGACCGCACCAGGACAGUUGAGAGGCUAUCCAGGCAACCCGCCUCAGGGCAGGAGCAAGGAGCAUGGACACGAGUAUCCAGCAGGGAGCCGGCUGGCUCGUCGGUAGCCGCCGGCUAGCGAGAGUCCGCCAGCUAGCUAGCUAGUUGUUCAGGGAGUAGACGGUAGCAGUGGAGAGCAGGUGCAACAGGUAAGCAAACAAGUCCAAGACGAAGCGUUGCAGUAGAGUUCAAAAACAGAGACUAAUGGCUAUUUACGGUGAUUGAACUUAACGACACUGUUAAAUAAAACCAAAAUGUAGGUUAAUUUGUGAUUAGGGUAGGAAAAACUGCCAGACGGAGCGGCGUUGGACUCGCCAGCGUCCCCCGUCACAGCGCGACAACUUCCGCCCAGUCUUCAAUGCUACCAGGGGGCAGUUUGGUUCAUCCUCCCGGUUCCCCAGUCUGCCUGCCCUGCCACGUCCUGCCUGGAUUCCACCCUCGCCCUCCUUGGAUUUCCUCGCCGUUUUCCCUGUAAAUAAACCAUUACACGCUCGUA